GUGCCGGCCGCCGCGGUAAUACCGGCAGCUCAAGUGAUGUCCCAUAUUAUUGGGCCUAAAGCGUCCGUAGCUGGCCGACCAAGUCUCCCGGGAAAUCCACCCGCCCAACGGGUGGGCGUCCGGCGGAACCUGUGUGGCUUGGGACCGGGAGGCCUGAGGGGUACGAUCGGGGUAGGAGUGAAAUCCUGUAAUCCCGCUCGGACCGCCGAUGGGGAAACCACCUCAGGAGAACGGAUCCGACAGUGAGGGACGAAAGCCAGGGUCUCGAACCGGAUUAGAUACCCUAGUAGUCC
rnacentral:rRNA from 1 species